rnacentral:rRNA from 1 species
AGUGAACGCUGGCGGUAGGCCUAACACAUGCAAGUCGAACGGCAGCACAGUAAGAGCUUGCUCUUACGGGUGGCGAGUGGCGGACGGGUGAGGAAUACAUCGGAAUCUACUUUUUCGUGGGGGAUAACGUAGGGAAACUUACGCUAAUACCGCAUACGACCUACGGGUGAAAGCAGGGGAUCUUCGGACCUUGCGCGAUUGAAUGAGCCGAUGUCGGAUUAGCUAGUUGGCGGGGUAAAGGCCCACCAAGGCGACGAUCCGUAGCUGGUCUGAGAGGAUGAUCAGCCACACUGGAACUGAGACACGGUCCAGACUCCUACGGGAGGCAGCAGUGGGGAAUAUUGGACAAUGGGCGCAAGCCUGAUCCAGCCUUACCGCGUGGGUGAAGAAGGCCUUCGGGUUGUAAAGCCCUUUUGUUGGGAAAGAAAAGCAGCAGGUUAAUACCCCGCUGUUCUGACGGUACCCAAAGAAUAAGCACCGGCGAACUUCGU